rnacentral:rRNA from 1 species
GACGAACGCUGGCGGCGUGCUUAACACAUGCAAGUCGAACGGAAAGGCCCUGCUUUUGUGGGGUGCUCGAGUGGCGAACGGGUGAGUAACACGUGAGUAACCUGCCCUUGACUUUGGGAUAACUUCAGGAAACUGGGGCUAAUACCGGAUAGGAGCUCCUGCUGCAUGGUGGGGGUUGGAAAGUUUCGGCGGUUGGGGAUGGACUCGCGGCUUAUCAGCUUGUUGGUGGGGUAGUGGCUUACCAAGGCUUUGACGGGUAGCCGGCCUGAGGGGGUGACCGGCCACAUUAGGACUGAGAUACGGCCCAGACUCCUACGGGAGGCAGCAGUGGGGAAUAUUGCACAAUGGGCGGAAGCCUGAUGCAGCAACGCCGCGUGCGGGAUGACGGCCUUCGGGUUGUAAACCGCUUUCGCCUGUGACGAAGCGUGAGUGACGGUAAUGGGUAAAGAAGCACCGGCUAACUACGUG